AGAGCGAACGCUGGCGGCAGGCCUAAUACAUGCAAGUCGAACGGCUCUUCGGAGCAGUGGCGGACGGGUGAGUAGCGCGUGGGAAUGUGCCCUUUGGUACGGAACAACUGAGGGAAACUUCAGCUAAUACCGUAUGUGCCCUUCGGGGGGAAAGAUUUAUUGCCAUUGGAGCAGCCCGCGUUGGAUUAGCUAGUUGGUGGGGUAAAGGCCCACCAAGGCGACGAUCCAUAGCUGGUCUGAGAGGAUGAUCAGCCACACUGGGACUGAGACACGGCCCAGACUCCUACGGGAGGCAGCAGUAGGGAAUCUUGCGCAAUGGGCAAAGCCUAGACGCAGGCCAAUGCCGCGUGAAUGAUGAAGGUCUAGGAUUGUAAAUUCUUUCACCGGGAAGAUAAUGACGGUACCGAGAAGAACGCCCGGCUAACUUCGCGCCAGCAGCCGC
rnacentral:rRNA from 1 species